GCCCCUGUGGUGGAAUUGGUAGACACGCGUGACUCAAAAUCACGUGCCGCGAGGCGUGUCCGUUCAAGUCGGACCGGGGGUACCA
rnacentral:tRNA from 1 species